CUUUCGUAUGUUUGAAUCUGAUUUCUCCAGUAUCCUAGAGCUUCAAUCAACUCACGUAACUUAAUGUCCUUGAAUCUGUGCUUUAACGUGAUAAAGCCACUACUCCCACUGUAAAGCAUUAACUCGACCUCUUAGCAUCCAAAGUAACCGCCUGAAGCUAGCAGUAUAAAUAAUCCCUCUAGCAACGAUGAACAGAAAAACCUCACUGAGAUCCAGAAGAAAAGUUUGUUCUACUUAUCGACGAUGGCGAAUUUCUUCAUCCUCCUUGCUGAUUUUAAAUUCGGUUGCUGUUCCAACACUUCUGAGGUUCGUUUGCCGAUGUUUGGGAGACCAGGAAUGUGAGGAAAGGCGAUGAACGACUGAGUCUUGACAUGCUACUCAUUGAUGAGCAGCCAACGAUUAUGCAAGGAUCUGUUAGUUCGAGUCGCAUACCCAAAUUCAGGAACCCCUUCAACGAAGGUUCUGUCUACACGCUCAACUGUUUCGAUGUAACCCGGACUAACCCCAAUUUCCGAUUGUCUAUGCCCCCCUCUCAAUACGGUAAGUUCCAAAAAAUUAACAGAUCCCGUUAGGCCCAGACCUACUGAACUGUUUCGAUUCCGACCACACGACAAGUUACUUGCACUGGCAAGCACCAACAAACAACUUCCUGCUGCAGGAAAAGAAGAGUUUGACAAAUAAUUAUUUUUUUCUGUACGGCUAGAAAUUCAGCAAGAUGACGGUUGGUGUUAUAUUGACUGUGGUGGGUGUUCAAAGAAACUUUCCCAAGAGAUAUCUUCAUUCACAUGCCUCGCAUGUAAUGAAACUAAUGUUGCGGCUGCCCUCAAAUAAGUAAUUUGGAUCUGUGUAUCUUUCCCCGUAAUAGAAGCAAAUGCCAUAUGUUUCCAGACACUAAUGUUGUAGUAAUAUCCUUUCC